GUGGCAUCUGUAUAAUAUCUUUGUGAGGUCUGUCUGAUUUGAUUAUGUAGAAGAUAGCUUCUUAAGGUCAAGAGGAUCCCAGAUGAAAGGAGGGAUGCUCCGGAGAAAAGGUACCCAAGGCUUGUGUCUCUCCUGUGCAGUCUAUGGAAAGGGAAGACAACUGCUGAACACAUGAGAAGAAUUAAAGCACAGAAAAAUCUGAGUAAUGUUUUGGUGCUGCAGCAAAUAGGAUUUACCUCCUGUUACAAACAUUUACUUGAAUAGUUCUGGACACUUGCCUACUUA